rnacentral:rRNA from 1 species
CCCUUAGAUGUCCUGGGCCGCACGCGCGCCACACUGGUCGAUGCAACGAGUUUCUUUCCUUGGCCGACAGGCCUGGGCAAUCUUUGAACAUCGAUCGUGAUCGGGAUAGAUUCUUGUAAUUUUUGAUCUUAAACGAGGAAUUCCUAGUAAACGCAAGUCAUCAGCUUGCAUUGAUUACGUCCCUGCCCUUUGUACACACCGCCCGUCGCUCCUACCGAUUGAAUGGUCCGGUGAAGCGUUCGGACCGUGGCCUUUGGACGGUUCGCCGUCUGUUGGCUGCGGGAAGUUCGUUAAACCUUAUCAUUUAGAGGAAGGAGAAGUCGUAACA